AGGAGGUAAGUAUCAAAAAAGUGAUUUUAUUGUCUGCAUACAGUGCUUAUAUACAGUACCUGCAUAGAGGGUGUAUGAGGGCCAGCGUAAAGUUUUGCAAGUUAGAUAUUGCUGAGGGCAAUCGAGCGGGGUAUAUAAAGACUGGAGCAAGUGAACACAACAUUAGAUGGCAAAGAUGAAG